rnacentral:rRNA from 1 species
GACGAACGCUGGCGGCGUGCCUAAUACAUGCAAGUAGAACGCUGAAGGAGGAGCUUGCUUCUCCGGAUGAGUUGCGAACGGGUGAGUAACGCGUAGGUAACCUGCCUGGUAGCGGGGGAUAACUAUUGGAAACGAUAGCUAAUACCGCAUAAGAGUAGAUGUCGCAUGACAUUUGCUUAAAAGGUGCAACUGCACCACUACCAGAUGGACCUGCGUUGUAUUAGCUAGUUGGUGAGGUAACGGCUCACCAAGGCAACGAUACAUAGCCGACCUGAGAGGGGGAACGGCCACACUGGGACUGAGACACGGCCCAGACUCCUACGGGAGGCAGCAGUAGGGAAUCUUCGGCAAUAGACGGUAGUCUGACCGAGCAACGCCGCGGGAGUGAAGAAGGUUUUCGGAUCGUAAAGCUCUGUUGUAGGAGGAGAACGAGUGUGAGAGUGGAAAGUUCACACUGUGACGGUAUCUUACCAGAAAGGGACGGCUAACUACGUG